AUUGGCUAUGCAGACUCGGCUAGAAGUAGUCAGAAUUUUGAUGCUAUUCCUGUAGAUAACUCAAAUCCAAAUAACAAGUGAAGCAUGCAUUUUUCCUUUCAUUUUCCCUUUUUUUUUCCUUCCUUUUUGUUUUGAUGAUGAUGAGGUGCAGGUUAUUCCUGUAGCUAACUCAAAUCCAAAUAACUAGUGAAGAAUUCAUGUGCAUUUUUCCUUUGAUUUC